rnacentral:rRNA from 1 species
ACCAGACGAUGCGGUUACCGCGGCUGCUGGCACGGAGUUAGCCGGUGCUUCUUCUGUGAGUGAUGUCCUUCCUGCCGGCUAUUAACCCGCAGGCCUUCUUCCUCACUGAAAGUGCUUUACAACCCGAAGGCCUUCUUCACACACGCGGCAUGGCUGGAUCAGGGUUGCCCCCAUUGUCCAAUAUUCCCCACUGCUGCCUCCCGUAGGAGUCUGGGCCGUGUCUCAGUCCCAGUGUGGCUGAUCAUCCUCUCAGACCAGCUACGGAUCGUCGCCUUGGUGAGCCGUUACCUCACCAACCAGCUAAUCCGACAUAGGCUCAUCCGAUAGCGCGAGGCCCGAAGGUCCCCCGCUUUCCCCCGUAGGGCGUAUGCGGUAUUAGCCUGGGUUUCCCCAGGUUAUCCCCACUACCGGGCAGAUUCCUAUGCAUUACUCACCCGUCCGCCGCUCGCCACCAGGGAGCAAGCUCCCCGUGCUGCCGCUCGACUUGCAUGUGUU